GAAAUACGAUAAUCAAGAAAAAGCUUCUAACUUUAAUCUUAAGCGGCGUACUACCGUUUGUAUUUCU
rnacentral:tRNA from 1 species